GAGUUAACAGGGCAGGGGAGAUACCAUGAUCACGAAGGUGGUUUUCCCAUGGCAAGGAUUAUCUAUUGCACUUCAGAUGUGCUGACCCCUGGGAUUUCCCCAAAUGCAGGAAACUCCGCUGCAUAAUUUGUGGUAGUGGGGUACUGUGUUCAUGCUCUCCCUGA